GACGAACGCUGGCGGCGUGCUUAACACAUGCAAGUCGAACGGAAAGGCCCUGCUUUUGUGGGGUGCUCGAGUGGCGAACGGGUGAGUAACACGUGAGUAACCUGCCCUUGACUUUGGGAUAACUUCAGGAAACUGGGGCUAAUACCGGAUAGGAGCUCCUGCUGCAUGGUGGGGGUUGGAAAGUUUCGGCGGUUGGGGAUGGACGGGCGGCUUAUCAGCUUGUUGGUGGGGUAGUGGCUUACCAAGGCUUUGACGGGUAGCCGGCCUGAGAGGGUGACCGGCCACAUUGGGACUGAGAUACGGCCCAGACUCCUACGGGAGGCAGCAGUGGGGAACAUUGCACAAUGGGAGGAAGCCUGAUGCAGAAACGCCGCGUGCGGGAUGACGGCCUGCGGGUUGUAAACCGCUUUCGCCUGUGACGAAGCGUGAGUGACGGUAAUGGGUAAAGAAGCACCGGCUAACUACGUG
rnacentral:rRNA from 1 species